rnacentral:rRNA from 1 species
UACGUAGGGCGCGAGCGUUGUCCGGAAUUAUUGGGCGUAAAGAGCUCGUAGGCGGCCUGUUGCGUCUGCUGUGAAAUCCCGGGGCUCAACCCCCGGGCGUGCAGUGGAUACGGGCGGGCUAGAGGCAGGCAGGGGGAGAACGGAAUUCCCGGUGUAGCGGUGAAAUGCGCAGAUAUCGGGAGGAACACCGGUGGCGAAGGCGGUUCUCUGGGCCUGUUCUGACGCUGAGGAGCGAAAGCAUGGGGAGCGAA